rnacentral:rRNA from 1 species
UACGUAGGGCGCAAGCGUUGUCCGGAAUUAUUGGGCGUAAAGAGCUCGUAGGUGGCGUGUCGCGUCUGCCGUGAAAGCCCAUGGCUUAACUGUGGGUCUGCGGUGGAUACGGGCAGGCUGGAGGCUGGUAGGGGCAAGCGGAAUUCCUGGUGUAGCGGUGAAAUGCGCAGAUAUCAGGAGGAACACCGGUGGCGAAGGCGGUUCUCUGGGCCUUACCUGACGCUGAGGAGCGAAAGCGUGGGGAGCAAACAGG